GAGAAAGAGAUGUUGGUUAAAGGGGGAGGGGAAAGGAGGGAGGAGGAAGGGAUAAACAACAAGAGGGGAGAAGUGGAAGAAACAGGUGAAUGUGGUAUUAAGAAAAGAUAGAUACAAUCGUGGCCUUUUUCUCUGUAUCUUAUUUUUCAUACACUGUAAAUAUUUUGCCUCUGUGUUAUUGCCAAGUUCCUGCAACCCAGACCACGCCCACAUCCCAACCAGGGACCGCCCCUUUCUGUAAUCCACACCCACAAAUCCUUAAACUCACUCCAGUGGACCAUGUGACCUACAGCAAAGGGACCAGGAUGCAGCAGUUUAUCAAUAGUGUUGUAUUUAAAAUGAAACACCAGCCAUGCAGAUAUUUCAAAUACAUACAUAGUAUUUAAAGAGAAUAACCGCAAUAUUCUCAGCACAAUAAAGGGGUCCUGUGUAAGUGGAAAUAAAUAUAUUUUAAAGGCUGGUUAAAGCUCAUUUAAAUUGGUGAGCAGUGAUCAUGUUAUUUAAGCUAAUAAGAGGUGAGAGAAUGGAUUUUAAAGAUGGUCAGCGCUCCUUUAAAGGGAGGGGCCAGUGAUCAUGCUAAUAAAGCUAAUGAUAAGUGAGAGAAUGGAUUUUAAAGAUGGUCAGCGCUCCUUUAAAGGGAGGGGCCGGUGAUCAUGUUAAUAAAGCUAAUGAUAAGUGAGAGAAUGGAUUUUAAAGUCUUAAGUUAGAACUUCUUUAAAUACAUCACUAUAGAUUUAAGAAUUAGUAGCUUCAAAUGUUCUUUGAUUGCUUUUAUUAUCCCUGUGACUUUCGAGGUGUUUGCAAUCAGUCAGAGUGCUUGUGCUGCUUCAGUAUUGAAAGCAUGUGACAUUAUGACCUUUCACCUGCUCUCUCUGUCUGUGUACCUGCAGAGUGGGCGGGGCUGGCAGAGGUGAGAGGUCGCACUGUCACAUGAUUUGAAAGGCAUGAGGAAGGCUUAGUUUUGUGGUUUCGAAUUCUCCAGACAAGCUCAAAGCAGAUUUAAAGAAAGAUUCUGAUAACUUUACUGGAGCAACAGAACCACUGUGAAUGAUCCCAAACACCACAGUAAGGGAAAGGUACUGAAUCAAAGCAAUGACAGUUAAUAUUGAAGAGGAUUAAACCGCUGCUCCCUGCUAAACCUGCCAAGCUGCCUAUCCAGUAUUUUUAAUUGCACAGCAGUGGCUAAAAGUUUUGUGUCAACUAGAAUUUUUGGAUUGAGACAUAAUUUAUAUAUAUAGGAAGAUCAUUUAUAUAUAUAUAGGAAGAUAAUAUAGGAACAUCAUUUAUAUAUUUUAUUUAACAUCAUGUAACUACAAAAUGAUAUCACAAAAGUCUACCAGAAGCCAUAAUAGUAGUACUUUUAUUACUAUUUGUUUAUUUAGCAGACACCUUUAUCCAAGGCGACUUACAGAGACUCGGGUGUGUGAACUAUGCAUCAGCUGCACAGUCACUUACAAUUACGUCUCACCCGAAAGACGGAGCACAAGGAGGUGAAGUGACUUGCUCAGGGUCACACAAUGAGUCAGUGGCUGAGGUGGGAUUUGAACCGGGGACCUCCUGGUUACAAGCCAUUUUCUUUAACCACUGGACCACACAGCCUCCUAUGUCAUAAGUACAGUAGUAUUUCAUGUUAGAUGUCGAAAUGUCACAUUUCUCUGUUUUCAGUUUUUCAUUAAGCAUGUGGAAAACUACAAAGUGCUGUGUGAUUCAGUAUGUUAACGUGACAUUAUUCAGCUAUUUUUAUUCGACUUUAUGAUGCAGAACGAGUUCAUUCUAUAGGGUGGUGCAAAACUUUUGGCCAGAGCUGUAGUUUCAGUUUCAUGUUUUGUAUUAAAAAAAGUGUAACGUUCCAGUGAUGUUAAAGCUGUAAAGCACCAUAAGUAUAACAAAUAUGUUUGUGUCGGUUGCUGUUUUACUUGCUGAUCCUCAGAGAAACCACCUGCAAGGAGCUGUAUCAGUCGUGUGCACGUGUAUUAAAACAACUCAAUGGGUUUUGCACACAAAACAUCUUUCAUUUACUGCAAACUCAUCUGACAUGAAGCUAAUUCAAAACUAAAACCACAGCGAUGUCUGAAGGUAUCUUACAUUCUAAUAUUUAGCAUGGCCACCUUUGGCAUCAGUAACAGUUUGGCAUCUUUUUGGCAUUGUGGUGUAAUUUGAUUCCAUUGUUCCUGAAGUUGUAUCCACAGACUUUCUUUUUGUACAGUUGGCAAGCUUGGAGUCCAAUAAGCUACAGAAGCAAUGAGGUGUUCUAGGAAAUCUGCACAUUACUGUGUAUGCGUUUAAUGAUAUAGAGAGUCAGAGCUGUGUGGUUACUCAGAUCUUCCAAGUAAUGCCUUUCAGCAGCUUUUAAGUCAGCAGGUAUUCAUUCAAAUAGAAAGAAACCUGUUAAAAUGGCGACACAUUGCUAAUGCUUUUCCCAUGCUGUGCAAUCUGCAAUGUCAGUCCUUGAUAAUAAGACAGUGGGCUGGAGGCUCAAAGCUGUUCACUUGUUGCCACUGGCACAGCUUGCAAUCAUUCUGAGUUCUUCUUAUUGCAGCUUCUCAAAUAUCAAGCCUUGUACGGUGCUUUGACCAGGCGCUCCUAGUUUCCUGCCAUUGACAUAAGCGAGGUAGGCUGGGUCAGCCAACCUUUAUAUUAAGCGCCAGCACCAUCUAGUGCACAGCUAGAGUAUUGCCCGCAAAACAUUAGGAAAUCCAAAGUGACAGAUCACUAGGUGGCGCUGGCUUCAAUAAGACGGUUUGUGAUGUCAUAAUGUGAUGUCCUGUCUGAUGUCAUAAUGAACCUUCCACCUUUUUGCCUUUUUUGAGUUUAGUCUACAGCCCUGUCGCUCCUUCCUUCCUAGAUUGUGUUUACUUUCCUAAACAGCGAAACUCGUUCAUGUGUUCAACAAGACGGACAGCAGCAUGGACACGAAGACUGUAUUAAUAAAUAUAUGAAUCAGUAAAUAUAAACAAGAAUUGCCUUGUGAAAUAAAGUGUUGCUGUUUUGUAAGAAA